UACGGAGGAGGCAAGCGUUAUCCGGAAUUAUUGGGCGUAAAGCGUCCGCAGGUGGCACCUCAAGUCUGCUGUCAAAGACCGGGGCUUAACCCCAGAAAGGCAGUGGAAACUGAAGUGCUAGAGUGCAGUAGGGGUAGAGGGAAUUCCCGGUGUAGCGGUGAAAUGCGUAGAGAUCGGGAAGAACAUCGGUGGCGAAAGCAGCUUUCUGGGACGGUACUGACGCGUGAGACGCGAAAGCGUGGGGAGCGAACAGG
rnacentral:rRNA from 1 species